rnacentral:rRNA from 1 species
UACGAAGGGGGCUAGCGUUGUUCGGAAUUACUGGGCGUAAAGCGCACGUAGGCGGGUCGUUAAGUCAGGGGUGAAAUCCCGGAGCUCAACUCCGGAACUGCCUUUGAUACUGAUAGUCUUGAGUAUGGGAGAGGUGAGUGGAACUGCGAGUGUAGAGGUGAAAUUCGUAGAUAUUCGCAAGAACACCAGUGGCGAAGGCGGCUCACUGGCCCAUUACUGACGCUGAGGCACGAAAGCGUGGGGAGCAAACAGG